rnacentral:rRNA from 1 species
GACGAACGCUGGCGGCGUGCCUAACACAUGCAAGUCGAACGGAGUAAGUUGCUUCGGUAAUUUACUUAGUGGCGAACGGGUGAGUAACGCGUGAGGAACCUACCUUUCAGUGGGGGACGACAGUUGGAGACGACUGCUAAUACCGCAUAAUGUAUUUGAGUGGCAUCACUUGAAUACCAAAGCUUUAUGUGCUGAAAGAUGGCCUCGCGUCUGAUUAGCUAGUUGGUGAGGUAACGGCUCACCAAGGCGACGAUCAGUAGCCGGUCUGAGAGGAUGAACGGCCACAUUGGGACUGAGAUACGGCCCGGACUCCUCCGGGAGGCAGCAGUGGGGAAUAUUGGGCAAUGGGGGAAACCCUGACCCAGCAACGCCGCGUGAAGGACGGAGGCCCUCGGGUUGUAAACUUCUUUUACCAGGGACGAAGAACGUGACGGUACCUGGAGAAAAAGCCACGGCUAACUACGUGCCAGCCGCCGCGGUAAAAC